CGACCAUGCUCCCCUCCAUAUUGAUCAGUACGCGCGGUCUGCAGGCCGCAGCAUCCAACGAUGGGAACGCGCGCUGCUACAUGUUGUCAACAUGCUUAGCAGACCGAAAUCCCACGGUGCGGGAUAGUGACGGGCCCCAGCCACGAAAGCGGCCACAUGCGUCCGCAGUGUCGUCGCCGGGACACGAGAAUCCGAUAUGCAUCAAGACGCACGUCCUGUGUACUCGCAAAGAAAGAUCUAGCCGAUCGUAAAUGGUAUCCGAAUAUCCUGUUCUAGUUUCGGGGACCAGCAUCACCACCUCGUUUGCAAGUAAAAGAGGAUGUCGUGUUCGAUUUUGCCGGCAGUCGUUUGCGCCCUGCACACCGUUACAAGGAUUCUUCGCAUCUCGAUAUAUCGAGUAUACGAGUACAUCUCGGGGAUUCUUCCAUGGGUCGGAUAACCAGCCCGCGUGAAUUCUUCAUCCUGACCAGAAAAGAGAAGCGAGUGUAGAACGCGCGCGAGAAAAGCCGGAAAUGAGAUUUCUUGUCGGCUGCGUUAGAAUCGAAGCGACCUAUUUCGGCGUUCAGAACAUGACAUUCAACGGUGAUCUAAAAGAAGCCAAAAUACAAAAUAAAAAAGCUGAUUGAGACUUUUUUAAAAAUGUAAAAUGUGUAAAUUAAUAUUUAAAAUUAUCUUAUUUAUGUUGGCUACACUGUAAUAGAUAACAAUUAUGUAAUUACGUUACACAGCAAAUAUUGUGCCGCAACGUGUACGCUUAACAUACUUGUUUAAAUCAUCUCUACAAACAAGCUAUUUUUAUCUGAUUCAAAAAAUGAUAACAUCUGCUGUUCUGAGCGUCCUAGAAAGGAUUCUAGUAUGGCGCUAAUGCACCUCUUAAUUCAACAAACCAAUGUAAUUGCAGGAAAACUUCGCACUGACGAGACGCGAGAGAAACGGAAAUGGUGAAUAAUAAACUUCAAAUUGUCACAAAAUAAUUAAGCACAUUUGUUUCCGCCUCAAGACAAAAAGCGAGAUACUUUUUUUUCUCAAAAAUGGCGUUCUUCUAUAGGCGAGCAAGCAAAGAGAUAAAAAACUAUAGAAGAAAACGAAGAUAAAAGAGAAAUCUCAUUUUCGAGUACAUUAUGUUGACUUAAUACACCGCGAAAAAAUAUACAGAGCUUAUAUAAAAAACCGCACGAUAUUAAUAAAGCUUAAAGAAUAUGUUUCACUAUCUGUAUAAAUAAAUUUUAUAAUAAAUGCCAUUUAAUUAUGUGUAA